GACUUGCUGCAGGAAACUAUGCUGCCCUGUCGGCUACCAACUGUGACGUGUAACAGAGUGAAUAAAAGCCAACGCUCUCAAAACAACAAGCAUGCUUUAUUCUGCAGAGGAUACCUCUAAAAUGUACUUGGCUCUAACCUUCUCUUUUAAAAGUUGCCACUUUUUUGAUAGUGGUGAGUUCUAAAGACUCUUCCAUAAAGACACCCUCAGCCAUGAACUGUCCACGGGGGACUUGUUAAAGGGUCAGAUCCUUGUUUUGACAAACAAAGGAAUCGUACGCUACACUCUGGAUACUCACUGUUCCUGGGAAACAACUGAUUUUUAACUGGCGCAUGAUUAAGAAACUAUUAAUAAGUUGUUCUUGAAUCAUCCUAAACUGAGGAUAACUUUCAACAAGAGAACUGAAUUGACACCUUCCCACGCUGCUUUCUGAUGCAUCAUAAAUCAUAUUUAAUAUGCCUAGUUUAUGUUGUACAAUCUAUAAGCUUUACUUUAAAAUGUUAACAUUAUGAACCAAAAGCACCUUCCAUCCACCGCAACAUAUUGCACUGCACUGUAAUUACGGGCCUUUUUUAUAUUUUAUGAAGUCCAUGACGUUUGGAAAUCAGGUGGGAGUACUCAAUUGUGUGAAAAUUGCACUACUAGAUGCCCUCCCAUCCUACACACAGGACUUUUGGAUUGUUUUUUUUUUUCUUUUUUGUUUGUAUGUUGUUUUUUUUAUGUGAAUAGUUUGAUUAUGUUAUGAGGAAGUCUGGGAUUAAUGGAGUUUUUCUUCUUUUCAACACCCCAGCACUUUGUAUUGCCUUGUUGCUGAAAAUGUGCUAUAUAAAUGGAAUUACCUUUACCUUUACCCAGCUACUAGAGAAAUCAAGUUUUGACAAUUUGCUUAAGAUGCUUACAGAUGAGUUUGUCUGUAUUAAAGUCAAAUGAAUUUAUCCUUUGGCAUUGAAAUGAUUAAAGUACAAAAGCAAACAAUACGUAAAGCAUGUAGUAGCAACACAAAGCUUUUAAGUCUUGACAAAAACAAAAAUUUAUGUUGCAGUGUUGAUAUUUUGUCCUCCUUUCUUUCCAACGAUGACACAUCAAUUGGCACAGAGUGCCUUGCCUGGUGGCACAUUGAUUUGUGAAAGGAGGAAACUGGAGUAGAACCUACGACCUUUCAAUUGUAAGACAGCUACUCUACCAGAAAAAGAUGGUUGAGAGCUUUGCCUGUUAAAACAUCUAAACUUUUCCCAUCAAACUGAAGUAUAUUCCACAAAGAACUUGGCAGUUGUUGUCAGCGUUUAUGUUUUAACAAUGUUUAUGGUUUAUGCUUUUACUAUUGAUGUUAUAUAUGUUUGAGGCUAUUAUUUUGAAUUAAUAAAGGAAACUGUUUUUAAACUGUUGUGUCCACAAAGGCCAUAAAUAUAGAAUUCAAUUGGGCUGCCUGAAAUUAUUGAAGACUUAUGUGUGGUAAAAUUUUGGCAACACACUGGACAAACUAAACAGCGACAGAUAAAAUAUCCUAGAGCUGAAAUCUUAUUAUGAGUUCCCUAUCUGUAUUAAACAGAUUUUUUUCGAUUUUUUUUUCAUGUGAUCAUCUUAAAUCUAAAAUUCAAAGAUGUUUUAUGAAUCCACACCAAAUUGACUAAAGUCUAUUGUUAGAUAUUCAAAGAAUAUUGCUAAAGUGUUCUCCUUUUUUCCUCAUGGAAAAAAUAAGAAAGCACAAAGUCAUGAAUCAUUAGUACAAAGUCUCAAAGCAGUGAUGAGUUGUUCACAGACAAGCCGACUUAAAGAUCUAGCGGUUUGUAACAAACAAGAAAAUCCUAUUCUUCAGAUAGCCUACUCCUCUCUUUAGAAUCCAUGCAGGCAAGGACAGGAUUUUAUUUUGACUGGAACAUCAUGCAGCCACUCUCAUGCAAAGACAGGCCAGAGUAUUUACCACUAUGCAAAAGAUUGAAGCUUAGGAGACUGGCAUAGUGGCACAGAGAAUAAGCCAGAUAGAAAGGUAUAAGUGUUAGGAAAAAGUGAAGACGCACUUGGCUUUAUCUCAGUGAUAUUGGAGAGUACAAAAUGCUGAUUACAAAAUUUGUAAAAAAAAAAAAAAAAAGUCUUCCAG